rnacentral:rRNA from 1 species
GAUGAACGCUGGCGGCGUGCCUAACACAUGCAAGUCGAACGGAGUUAUUGCUUAAGUUUACUUAAGUAAUGACUUAGUGGCGAACGGGUGAGCAACGCGUGGGUAACCUGCCCUUAAGACCGGGACAACAGCUGGAAACGGCUGCUAAUACCGAAUGUAUUUAACCGAAGGCAUCUUUGGUUAAGGAAAGCUGGCCUCUUUACAAUGCUAGCGCUUAAGGAUGGACCCGCGUCUGAUUAGCUAGUUGGUAAGGUAACGGCUUACCAAGGCGACGAUCAGUAGCCGGCCUGAGAGGGUAAUCGGCCACACUGGGACUGAGACACGGCCCAGACCCCUACGGGAGGCAGCAGUGGGGAAUCUUCCGCAAUGGACGAAAGUCUGACGGAGCAACGCCGCGUGUAUGAAGAAGGCCUUCGGGUUGUAAAAUACUGUUGUUAGGGAAGAACGGCAUCUGUGUAAAUAAUGCAGAUGAUUGACGGUACCUAACGAGGAAGCCCCGGCUAACUACGUGCCAGCAGCCGCGGUAAUACGUAGGGGGCAAGCGUUGUCCGGAAUCAUUGGGCGUAAAGGGCGCGUAGGCGGCUAUAUAAGUCUGAUGUGAAAGUGCGGAGCUUAACU